rnacentral:rRNA from 1 species
AGUGAACGCUGGCGAUAGGCCUAACACAUGCAAGUCGAACGGCAGCACAGUAAGAGCUUGCUCUUACGGGUGGCGAGUGGCGGACGGGUGAGGAAUACAUCGGAAUCUACUUUUUCGUGGGGGAUAACGUAGGGAAACUUACGCUAAUACCGCAUACGACCUACGGGUGAAAGCAGGGGAUCUUCGGACCUUGCGCGAUUGAAUGAGCCGAUGUCGGAUUAGCUAGUUGGCGGGGUAAAGGCCCACCAAGGCGACGAUCCGUAGCUGGCCUGAGAGGAUGAUCAGCCACACUGGAACUGAGACACGGUCCAGACUCCUACGGGAGGCAGCAGUGGGGAAUAUUGGACAAUGGGCGCAAGCCUGAUCCAGCCAUACCGCGUGGGUGAAGAAGGCCUUCGGGUUGUAAAGCCCUUUUGUUGGGAAAGAAAAGCAGCAGGUUAAUACCCCGCUGUUCUGACGGUACCCAAAGAAUAAGCACCGGCUAACUUCGUG